AUUGAACGCUGGCGGCAGGCCUAACUCAUGCAAGUCGAACGAGUGGCGGACGGGUGAGUAAUGUCUGGGAAACUGCAUGAUGGAGGGGGAUAACUACUGGAAACGGUAGCUAAUACCGCAUACCAUAGGAUGUGCCCAGAUGGGAUGAGCUAGUAGGUGGGGUAAAGGCGCACCUAGGCGACGAACCCUAGCUGGUCUGAGAUGAUGACCAGCCCCACUGGAACUGCAGCACGGUCCAGACUCCUAAGUGAUGCAGCAGUGUGGAAUAUUGCACAAUGGGCGCAAGACUGAGACAGCCAUGCCGCUUGUAUGAAGAAGGCCUUCGGGUUGUAGAGUACUUUCAGCGGGUGGGCGUUACCCGCAGAAGAAGCACCGGCUAACUCCGUGCCAGCCGCCGCGGUAAUAC
rnacentral:rRNA from 1 species